rnacentral:rRNA from 1 species
GCAAGUCGAGCGAGAAAGCACUUCGGUGCGAGUACAGCGGCGGACGGGUGAGUAACGCGUAGGAAUCUACCCAGUAGUGGGGGACAACAUGGUGAAAACCAUGCUAAUACCGCAUACGCCCUAUGGGGGAAAGCGGGGGACCUUCGGGCCUCGCGCUAUUGGAUGAGCCUGCGUCGGAUUAGCUUGUUGGUGAGGUAAAAGCUCACCAAGGCGAUGAUCUGUAGCUGGUUUGAGAGGACGAUC